GAAAAGCUUAUGAGCUGAGACCUACGAUUGCUCUCAAAUAGUCUGAGAGACUUAGCAAAAUGAUGUCUAAAUAACUUACCAGAUAAUAUUUAAUCUCACAGUUUUCAGAUCUGAAAACAGUCUGAUAAACUAGAGGAAGGUCAAGUCCAGCGUCUGAGGAGGUCAUAAUGUCAAUCAGUGCCAAAGAGAAGGAGGUUACUGACUGAUUAAUGAAUAUGUAUGGAUCCAAAUGGUAAAGGAGCUCCUGACGGGAUCUGAGGCACCUGUUUUUCACUGUUGUAGCAGAAAUGUUAAGUCACAGCCUGAACCAGUGAUUGAGCACCUGGUGGGAAGGCAGGGCCAACCCAGGGGAGCUCAGGUGCAUGCAAUGAACCUGAGUGAGCAGAAGGGGUGCAGGCAGGAUCCGCCCCUUCCCAGACUUCAUUUAAAGGUUGGCAGUGGAGGCAAGGGUAUCUUGCUGAAGAUUGCUGCAUAUCUCAGGUCUUCCUAAGGUAAGCAGUUUUCCUUUCUUUGUUUUUGCUUCCAUAUCUGCUUCAUCUGGGCUUGUUCUCGUUUGCUAUAGACUAGGAUUGUGCUACUCUGCUGUUAUUGCUAUACUUUCCAUCACAUUAUAGCAUUACAAUUGUCACCAGCUGUUAAUUCAACUCCUAUACUGUUGUGUCAUGCUCACACCUCAGUGCUGUAAAAUUAC
rnacentral:lncRNA from 1 species